rnacentral:rRNA from 1 species
UUGACCUCGGAUCAGGUAGGAGUUACCCGCUGAACUUAAGCAUAUCAAUAAGCGGAGGAAAAGAAACCAACCGGGAUUGCCUCAGUAACGGCGAGUGAAGCGGCAAGAGCUCAAAUUUGAAAUCUGGCCCCCUCGGGGUCCGAGUUGUAAUUUGCAGAGGAUGCUUCGGGUGCGGUCCCCAUCUAAGUGCCCUGGAACGGGCCGUCAUAGA